ensembl:lncRNA
GUAGAAAGCUAAGUUGCUCAUGUGUUAGGCCACACCAGCCCCAGGAACUGCUUCUGAAAGGCUGGAUAUGCUGGUAUGGAGUGAUGGCCAGUCCCCCACACCAGGCCCUGAAAUCAGGGUAGCUGGGCCUGCUGCUCAAGGUCCAACACAAACCCUCAAGAAACUGGGUGCUGGUCCCAGAUCUCCUUCUCAUCAUGGUCCAGAUGUGGACAACUGUCAUCUGCCCCUUCUGGUCAGGCCCUUUGGAUUUAACCUUGAGGCAGAGGAUCAGCUGCCCUGGCAACCCGCAGCUCCUUUCUGCAGCAAUACCUCCUGCAAAGCCCUUGGCUACAACCCAGUGAGAACUCUCACUUGUGCCUGGACUGAUUUCCUGGUCUCCUGGCUUGAUCUGCUCCCGUCCGAUUUCCACACUGCCACCCCAGCAGUUUUUCCCCAGUAUGAGGAAACUAAGCUUCCUGGGAAAUAAUUAUCAUACAACUGGUAAUCGGGAGAGCCAAGAAUUCUACACAACUCCACUGCUCAUGUGCUUAAUAAACAAAUUAUACUGCUUUCCAUGAGGGUUAUUAGGAAUUCAUAUAUUUAAGAAGCGCUAGGUAAAUUAGUCAAAAUUCCAAACAAUGGUUAAAUCUAGGGUGUUCAGAUAAAGCAAGUAAAUUUCCAAAAUAUAAG